rnacentral:rRNA from 1 species
UUUAACGGCCGCGGUAUUUUGACCGUGCAAAGGUAGCAUAAUCAUUAGCCUUUUAAUAGAAGGCUGGAAUGAAAGGUUCAACGAAUCAUUAGCUGUCUCAUUUAUAUAAUUUAAAACUUAAUUUUUAAGUUAAAAAGCUUAAAUUUUGUUGUAGGACGAGAAGACCCUAUAGAGCUUUACAUUUUAUUUUUUCAUAUUUUAUUGAUUUAUAAAUUUAUAUUAAAAUCUUAAUGUUUUGUUGGGGUGAUAAAAUUAUAUAAUAAACUUUUUUGUUUAAUAAACAAUUAUUUUUGAAUAAAUGAUCCAUUAUUAUUGAUUAAUAGAUUAAGUUACCUUAGGGAUAACAGCGUAAUCUUCUUUUGGAGUUCUAAUUUAUAAGAAGGCUUGCGACCUCGAUGUUGGAUUAAGAUAAUAAUUUGGUGUAGUAGUUAAAUUAAUAGGUCUGUUCGACCUUUAAAAUCUUACAUGAUCUGAGU